rnacentral:rRNA from 1 species
UACGGGAGGCAGCAGGUGGGAAUAUUGCACAAUGGGCGCAAGCCUGAUGCAGCCAUGCCGCGUGUAUGAAAAGGCCUUCGGGUUGUAAAGUACUUUCAGUCGUGAGGAAGGUGUUAAGGUUAAUAACCUUAGCAAUUGACGUUAGCGACAGAAGAAGCACCGGCUAACUCCGUGCCAGCAGCCGCGGUAAUACGGAGGGUGCGAGCGUUAAUCGGAAUUACUGGGCGUAAAGGGCACGCAGGCGGUUAAUUAAGUUGGAUGUGAAAUCCCCGGGCUUAACCUGGGAAUGGCAUUCAAGACUGGUUAGCUAGAGUCUUGUAGAGGGGGUAGAAUUCCAUGUGUAGCGGUGAAAUGCGUAGAGAUGUGGAGGAAAUACCGGUGGCGAAAGGCGGCCCCUGGACAAAAGACUGACGCUCAUGUGCGAAAGCGUGGGGAGCAAAACAGGGAUUAGAUACC